rnacentral:lncRNA from 1 species
GUCUGGUGGAAUCUCGGAUGUCGGAAGCCUCUAGUAGGGUAAAACCAUGUUUUUAUGAAAUGUUUUAAUGUGUUUUAUGUUUUAAACAUGAAAGAAAAUGAGUUUUUGCAUGAAAAUAGCAUUGGAGGAAAACUCAGGUUCGGCCGCCGAACAUGCAUGCGUUUCAGGUGUGCUUUAGGCCCCCGAAAGCAUAAGUGAGGGAAGUCCAGGU